rnacentral:lncRNA from 1 species
AUGGGAAAGACUAGAGAUCUCUUCAAGAAAAUUAGAGAUACCAAGGGAACACUUCAUGCAAAGAUGGGCUCGAUAAAGGACAGAAAUGGUAUGGACCUAACAGAAGCAGAAGAUAUUAAGAAGAGGCGGCAAGAAUACACAGAAGAACUAUACAAAAAAGAUCUUCACAACCAAGAUAAUCAUGACGGUGUGAUCACUCACUUAGAGCCAGAUAUCCUGGAAUGUGAAGUCAAGUGGGCCUUAGAAAGCAUCACUACGAACAAAGCUAGUGGAGGUGAUGGAAUUCCAGUUGAGCUAUUUCAAAUCCUGAAAGAUGAUGCUGUGAAAGUGCUGCACUCAAUAUGCCAGCAAAUUUGGAAAACUCAGCAGUGGCCAUGGGACUGGAAAAGGUCAGUUUUCAUUCCAAUCCCAAAGAAAGGCAAUGCCAAAGAAUGCUCAAACUACCGCACAAUUGCACUCAUCUCACACACUAGUAAAGUAAUGCUCCAAAUUCUCCAAGCUAGGCUUCAGCAAUAUGUGAACCGUGAACUUCCAGAUGUUCAAGCUGGUUUUCGAAAAGGCAGAGGAACCAGAGAUCAAAUUGCCAACAUCCGCUGGAUCAUGGAAAAAGCAAGAGAGUUCCAGAAAAACAUCUAUUUCUGCUUUAUUGACUAUGCCAAAGCCUUUGACUGUGUGGAUCACAAUAAACUGUGGGAAAUUCUGAAAGAGAUGGGAAUACCAGACCACCUGACCUGCCUCUUGAGAAAUCUGUAUGCAGGUCAGGAAGCAACAGUUAGAACUGGACAUGGAACAACAGACUGGUUCCAAAUAGGAAAAGGAGUACGUCAAGGCUGUAUAUUGUCACCCUGCUUAUUUAACUUAUAUACAGAGUACAUCAUGAGAAAUGCUGGGCUGGAAGAAGCACAAGCUGGAAUCAAGAUUGCCGGGAGAAAUAUCAAUAACCUCAGAUAUGCAAAUGACACCACCUUUACGGCAGAAAGUGAAGAGGAACUAAAAAGCCUCUUGAUGAAAGUGAAAGUGGAGAGUGAAAAAGUUGGCUUAAAGCUCAACAUUCAGAAAACGAAGAUCAUGGCAUCUGGUCCCAUCACUUCAUGGGAAAUAGAUGGGGAAACAGUGGAAACAGUGUCAGACUUUAUUUUUGGGGGCUCCAAAAUCACUGCAGAUGGUGACUGCAGCCAUGAAAUUAAAAGGCGCUUACUCCUUGGAAGAAAAGUUAUGACCAACCUAGACAGCAUAUUGAAAAGCAGAGACAUUGCUUUGCCAACAAAGGUCCGUCUAGUCAAGGCUAUGGUUUUUCCUGUGGUCAUGUAUGGAUGUGAGAGUUGGACUGUGAAGAAGGCUGAGCACCGAAGAAUUGAUGCUUUUGAACUGUGGUGUUGGAGAAGACUCUUGAGAGUCCCUUGGACUGCAAGGAGAUCCAACCAGUCCAUUCUGAAGGAGAUCAGCCCUGCGAUUUCUUUGGAGGGAAUGAUGCUGAAGCUAAAACUCCAGUACUUUGGCCACCUCAUGCGAAGAGUUGACUCAUUGGAAAAGACUCUGAUGCUGGGAGGGACUGGGGGCAGGAGGAGAAGGGGACCACAGAGGAUGAGAUGGCUGGAUGGCAUCACUGACCCGAUGGAUAUGAGUCUGAGUGAACUCCGGGAGUUGGUGACGGACAGGGAGGCCUGGCGUGCUGCGAUCCAUGGGGUCGCAAAGAGUCCGACACGACUGAGCGACUGA